AUUUGAAGCGUUUAACACAAAACUUUUAAAGGUGAUAGAGAAAGUGUUAUAUUAUUACACCGACCUGGAGUCGGCGACGCUCAUCCGAAAUAGUGGACUGAUAAAACAGUCUGUGUACAACGCUAGAUUUGGAUCGGAGGUCUACCUAAUUUAAAUGCAUCCCACUGCGUCCUUCAACGAGAGUUUGAUGAAGGAGGUUGGACUUCUUGUUCAGGAUUUGGACAUAUGUUUUGCUUACCUGUCAUGGACUAUUCCUAGAGGGAGAAGGUUGAGAACGUGUAUAUCCUUUCAUUUCACAAAUGAAUGCGAUUAUCGUGGUUAUUCUCAUGGUUAUUAUCUUGAUUAUCAUAAUACGUUUCAACCUGUACAGUAAACCGUAAAAACCGGACCAUAGUGUGGACGUUUUAAUACGAAUAUGAACGAGCUAAUAUAACUAAUUACAUACAACUUAUUAUAUAUGGACCAGCAGGGCAUGUAACCUGUAUAUUACAUAAGUAUGUGUGAAUAUAUAAACAUUGCAUAUUAGCGUUAUACAAUUAUUAUAUGUUGAUUAAUUGUGAAGGAACGGGACCGUUUGAUUGAAACUGAACGAACUGUAUUGACGCUAUGUUUUGCCUACAAGCGACGGUUCAUAAUCUGGCACAUUUCGGAAAGCUACUCAAGAGGUGGUUACAUUCCUUUCAGCAUAGUUAAACAAUGUUUACGAUCAGAGGCUAAAACCUCCAAGGGUAAUGUUUAUUAAAAUGAUCCCUGUUAUAUGAUAUAUAAUUCAUUGAUAAAUAAACAUCAAUCGUAUCGAUGAAGAACACUUGACUCCUUAUAUCAAUGUAUACGUUUUCAAGCAAAUAAUUUUGUGAAAAUAGA